AGCGAACGCUGGCGGCAGGCUUAACACAUGCAAGUCGAACGGGCAUCUUCGGAUGUCAGUGGCAGACGGGUGAGUAACACGUGGGAACGUACCCUUCGGUUCGGAAUAACUCAGGGAAACUUGAGCUAAUACCGGAUACGCCCUUUUGGGGAAAGGUUUACUGCCGAAGGAUCGGCCCGCGUCUGAUUAGCUUGUUGGUGCGGUAACGGCCUACCAAGGCGCCGAUCAGUAGCUGGUCUGAGAGGAUGAUCAGCCACACUGGGACUGAGACACGGCCCAGACUCCUACGGGAGGCAGCAGUGGGGAAUAUUGGACAAUGGGCGCAAGCCUGAUCCAGCCAGGCCGGGUGAGUGAUGAAGGCCUUAGGGUUGUAAAGCGCUUUUGUCCGGGACGAUAAUGACGGUACCGGAAGAAUAAGCCCCGGCUAACUUCGUG
rnacentral:rRNA from 1 species